ensembl:lncRNA
GCGUUCCCUUUGCAACAAAAAUAUUUACAAUUGCUAUCAAGGAAAGUUCUGAUGCAGUAUUGAUGUUGUCAUUAGCAGGACCGAAUGCACUUUGUCCUGCAUAUAACUCAUUAAGGAGCUAUGGGAAAAAGCAGAAGCAAAGACAAGUUGUAUUUUUUUCUAUAAGAAAGACAGCAUACACUGAAGAGUCCAAACUUCUGCCUGGAAAGUCAUGUGCACUGAUUUAUGCUCUUCAGGCUGGAAAGAGAAGAUAUGGAGUGUGAUGGCAAAGGUAUUUGGGGACUUUCUCUGGUGGCGAUGAUUCUUUUCUGCAGAGCUCGUCAGGUAAAACUUAAGCAGUGCUUUGCUCUCACCGGCAAUGGAGUAGCUCCACCACCUGGGGAGGGCAGUCCCUGUGCCUGGCUUCUAUUGAGUAAGCAUCCUAAAGGACCAUCCAGCCCAGGACCAUUUCCAAAUGAGUGGACUGCAGAGGCUUGCAGAGCUCAGGACCCAGGGCAGGGGAAUCUGUCUUCACUCCUGGGCUCCAGAACCCACAGAGCUGCUCCCAGCACAGUACUGUCUACUGUUAAAAGUCCUAGAGCUCCUUGGGUCAAAGGCAGCUCUCAGAAGGACACCUCUGAACCUACCUGGGAUCUCCCAGAUGUUCAGUGUGCAAGUCAAAGCCAGGGUCUUUCUGUCUGCUUUCAUAAGCACCUUCAGAAGGUAGGUUAUCUCACCUACAGAUAAAGAGACGAUUUGUGCUCUGGAAGUGCAAGUCAUUAACACUGUAUAGGAUAAAUUGCCCCCCAAGGGCCCCUCUCUCUCCGGGCAACAGAAAGCUGCUACUCAACUAAAUUAAAGUGUAGCAUUCAAAGCUUAAUGUUAGAUGAAGUGACUCUCAUCUGCAGAGUAAUGUUGCCCGCAGACCUAUUGAGCCUCAUUCAUCUCAUGUAAUUUACUCACAUUUCUUACUCCCUGCAGCUGGGCUGAUGGCUUGUGUUUUCAGGGCUGUGUUACAGCCUUUCCUCUGCUCAGAGACCCUGUGCCAGACGCAGCUGAAGAUGGCCCUGCCUCCUUGUUGCAAGAUGCCAAGUUUGAAAUAUAAUGUGUUUCUCCCAUACAGAAAUUAUCAGAGCAAUGCAAUUAGCAAUUGUACCUAUAGGGCACAUUCAGAACUCUGGUUAUUAUGUGAUUGCCCAGAGAGUCCAUCGAAACUCAAACAACCCAUUUCAGUACAUUUACCAAUUAUCAUGCAAGGAUGGGUAAGAAACAAUUUGCUGCUUAAAAUCAGCAAAUGAAAUCAAGGCAACUUUCAACUUUAUGAGUUUUAUUUGAUUUUCCCUUACUCCAGACAAACUCCCGCCCCACAAAACAGAAGUCACAAGCGAUUAAUACACGUUCUACUGAAAGCCACCAAGGGCACUAAAUUAAAUCUGUGGUGCUCUCUCUUACUUACCCACACACAUAAAAGACCUAGAAGCCUGUGCAAGGCUUCCUAUUGGCAUGAGGUUGCUAGCCAGCCUAAAAGCUAUUAGCGCUGGUUAGAGAGCUGCAGAAUGAUUUAGCAGAAUUUUAAAUGACUGCCGCAUCACUGCUAGCAGUUGCUGUGCAAAUGUUUUCAGAAAGAUCACCAACGUUAAAGAGCAAUUCCAGUUACAAGUGAUGGCUGUACAUCAUGGAUAUUGCAUUGACUUGCAGUCUGGCUAUACCAAAAGUAUGCAUUACUGAAAGCCUAUUAUAGAGACCAAGAAACCAUAUAAUCCCUCUGGACCUUCAGCACCACCUUUUCUGAUAUGUACAAGGCAAGUGUCUAACAGCACUUAUAUUCUAUUCAAACAGAUGGUUUUUAAAUGAUCUUUAUCAUCAGCCCACUGGAAAGAUGAACUCCAGUCUGCCCAAACUAGAGUCACAUUUGGAUCUUGAACCUUGAAACUCCUGUUUCUCCCGGUGAAGAUCAAGCAUUGUAAGAAUAUGGGGUUCACAGGGUAAGGAUGUGAGUAAAGGGACAGAUGGUCACCUUUUAGAUGGGUUUCACAGAAUAAAAGGCCAUUUUUAACCUGAAGCA